rnacentral:lncRNA from 1 species
UACCUUUUUAAAUGCAUCCCAACCAUUGGGAGUAGACGAUCAUGUCAGAAUUUUUGGAUUGUGAAUCAGCUUCAUAGAAUAAAAAAAAAUAUUUUUACAUAUUGAGAAAGGAGAAUAGAUCAAAUAUCCCUUCCCAUAAGAAAAUAAGGAAUCCAGCUAGAGGAUGAUGUUACUUUGACCAGAUUUAACAAGCACACCUUUAUGAGA